UUUCAGGAGCAGAAGGCACAGUGUUCCCUAAAUCUAUAGAAACUCCCAAUGUCAGGGCAGACCCCUUCAAGGAACUAAGACUUGAGUCGCCUACGCGCGCGUUGGUGAUGGAGGCUCCAAAAGGCAUUGAGAUCAACGCCGAGGCUGGCAGCUUGAAAGCCACAUGCAGGACGGAGCUCAGGCUGGAAUCCAAAGAUGGAGAGAUAACGUUGAAUUCUGCAAAAAUCAAACUACCUAACUUGCCUCAAGGAUCUUCCUCUUCUGCAGGGUCCAGGCAAAAAAUCUACGAGCUCUGUGUGUGUCCCAAUGGGAGGUUAUUUCUGUCUCAGGCAGGCACUAGCUCGACCUGCCAGAUAAAUACAAGCGUCUGCCUUUGAGAGACAAUUUGCAGUGGGGCAUCGCAGGCAGCACAAAAGCCAAUUCUGGUCUCACAGAUUGCAGCUGCCAACUAUUUUUACUAGAACACAGAAAGCCUAUCAAAGACUUUUUUUGUGUGUGCGCGCGUGUGUGUGUGAAUAUAUAUAUAAAAAUAUAUAUAUAAAAUAUAUAUAUAUAUACUUUGUGUAAAAUGAUGUUUCAGUACAAGGAAUCCCAGGGUGACCCUGUUACAUUUGUGUAGCAUUUUUCUUUCUCAUGUCAAAAUUUACUGAUACAAUCUGCUGAAUUGAACUUGAUGGACCCUUCUGUAUUAAGAUAUUCUGACGAUCACCCCUCGUUAUUGAUCAUGUUCUCAGAGCGAUGGGAUUGCUGGCUCAUCAAGAGCAUGGAACCAUUGUAGACCUAGCAGCAUACAAAAGGGAGGGUAGCGUCUCUGAUUACUUUUGCACCGUUAAAUUGGUGGCUUGAGAAAAACGAAAUAGCCUGACAUGCUGUACUGAUGGCCUAGAGUGAUCCAAGAUACCUGGGAUUAAACUACACUCUAUAAUUCUCACCUGAAGUGGGGCUCCCUGCGAGGAAAAAUGAAUUUCAUUGCCUUAUUCUUCCCAGCCCUUGGCCAGGAGGAGAGUCCAGAUCUUCUCACUGGAAUAAAUGUGUUAUAUGAAAGGAGUCUAGAUUAGCCUGAACAUGGCAAAGGAUGUUAUGUACUAUUCAGAUGGUACACAGUCAGUAUGCGAAGGACUGGUAUUUGGUGGUCUCUUAAGGGAGUCCCUUCCACUUCCCAAGUAGGAGUUUAACAGACCAAGGGAAUUAACAAACACAUGAAGGUCACUGUCACUGGGAGAAAAAUUGAAUCGAAGCCAACUUAGUUAACUUCCCUGAAUCUUGCAUUGAAGAUCUCUGAAGAGGUUAUGCUAUUAUCCAGCAUCAACUGGAACACUAACCUAAAGACAUUUCCACGUUAAGAAAACUAGUGAUGUAUUUAGUUUUUGGAAAGAAAAUAAAUUUAAAAGUUGCACUCAACAGAAAAAUCCUGAACCUCCUUAGCUUACAGGUGUCCUGGAUCACCCUACAAUCACUGUGCUACCACUUUAAUUUUGAAAAGAUUUAACACAGCCUGUGAAGGUGAGAAAAUUUAAGAUUUGGACAUCACCUAUCUGUGAAACAGAGAAGUUCAUACAAGCUAGAAGUGUAAUCUAAACUUUGUGCUGAAGUUUAUAUCAUCUUUCUUUUCAGGAAACGCAGUCUGAGGUAGCUUACAUUUUAUGUAUGUUGCAAAUAUCAGAGACGCUGACAAUGAAACAGAUUUUUUUUUUUAGUAAUUUAUAAAGAUUGUGACCAAGAUUACUGGAAAGCAAGGGCUUUGGAUACUGGUUCCUCUAGAACAUGAGCCCCAAAACUUCUGUGAUUGAACCUUUUCAUGGGUGCUUUUUUUCCUUAUUUAAGUCUAGGAGUCACUUAUGGGCAGGAUAAAACAUGAGAUCUGAUCUGGUAACAUUAUUUCUUCUGUUCAGGUUUUGAAAAGUAAUGAGGAGAGCCCGGAUCAUUGAAUCCUGACCCAUAAUUGCAUAUAAAAAUCCUUGAAAAACUAAUGGGAUAAUAAUCUCAAAAACGUCUAGGUCCCAGUAAAUCUCAUGAGGGCAGCAAGGUUUCUAAGUCACUGAGAUGCUUUUGAAAACAUCACCUCAUGUGCAAAUAUGACAGAUCUGUGCCCAUCCUAAUGGUAUCUAAGAAAAGCUGGCAUUCUUUAAGCAACUUUCAAGAUAAAAUGUAGCCAACAGAGAAAUAUUUGAAAUAAUUUAGCCAGUUUCUUUUUUACAUAUUUCCUUGUAUUUUCUUGUGGUCUGAAGAGUACCAGGGUUUGGUGGGGUUUUUUUGUUUGUUUGUUUCUGUUUUUUAAAUGAACAGUUCUAGUCUAAUCCAAAGCUGACUGGACACAAUUGAAAGUUUUUCAUUGCCCUUCAUGGGCUUUGGGUUAGAUGUUGCUGCCUAACAAAGCAACACUCCUAUAAAAUUUAUACCUGAUAGAGGAUUGGAUGAUCUACAUUUAUUUCAAUAAUGCUGUUAGAUUAAUUAACAAAUUCAAACUCUCUGUUAAUUAAUGAUUCCUGUAAUUAUUAUGUCUUGAGUCAAUGUUUGAAUGCAAAGGGUCACCCAGGGUAACAAUUGUAUUGGGACACAGGACUAUACCAUCUCUGUUCAAAGAGGGGAAUUGUGCCUAUGCCUUAAGUCAAUGCACUCAGCAAGGAGAAGCACAUCAUAUUUAUCUUGUUAUUAAAACUAGUUUAUUUGGGGGGAGGGACAAGAGGGUGUUGUCACCAGGUGUCUUAGGAAGUGGUUGUGCAACAUAAAACAGAUAUUAAUGAAAUGCAUUAAGACUGUAGGGGCACCUAGUGUGAUAGAGAUGUUUUUUACCAUGUUAAAUAUAGCAAAACACUGUGUAUGUUACCUCCGGGACCAUGACUGAAGUCCCAUUCAUAGUCCUGCAUUUACUGUAGAAUUUUUCCCCUGUGUCAUUUUAUGUUGAUCACAAACCUUAUAGCAAGCACAGCCCAAUUCAUAAACAAAUCCCAUGUGCAGAAGUGCAUGAGCCAUUGGGAAGAAAAGCGCUGCAGGAAGAGUCCCUGGUGCAGAGAACCAGUUGCAUAGCCUUCCCUUCCCGGAGAGUUUUAAUGCUAGUGAGAAACACUGGUUUGAGCGCACACACUGCCUCGGGAAGGACAGUGUUCCCUCAGUCCCGUGUUGCACCCCGAGAGGCAGGGCGGCUCAGUCUCCAUCCCCUCACCCUCUGGCUGCUCUGCGGAGGAUUUCUAUUCAAAAACAACCGCGUUUUGAGUGGCCAGGCUUGUCAGCUGGCUCUUGGAUGAGAUUAUCACCUUCUUAUUUCAUGAAGGCCAUGAAACUGCUUAAGGACAUCUGGCCAUAUACCAGUUUUUUGUGGAUGUCAAUGGGAGAGCUGUUAGGGAAGAGCCUUACACAUCUGUGCCAUCUCUAUAAGAGACUUUUUUGCAGAAAGCUUCUCUGAGGUGAAUAAAGGGGCACUUUAAUGUCAACAGAAAUGAAUUCCAGUUCCUUCAAUAUAUUUUACAAUGCUGUUUCCACCUUAAAAAGCAUAAAAUGAUAUGCUGUAUCAGAAGAGAAGGGUCGAUGUUACAGAGAUUGAUCCCAUAUGGAGACUUAUAAAUCAUCUGAGCCUCACUUGAAUUUUAAGGCCAUGGUUUAGAUGAUGCCACAUGCUCUUGGGUUAGCUACAGGAUUAAUCCCCUGCUGUACAGCAAGUGACAAACCAGAGCAAACAGGACUGCAUGUCUGAGGUCCCAGGGAAGAAAAGGCAUUUUGUUUAAAAAGUAGCAGGCAGAUAUAUCCAGCUUUCUCAUGCUUCAUAGUUUGUUCUAUGAGGGUCACUGUGGAGACGCAAGCUCACCUGGUGAAAGGCAAAUGCAUGAGACUUUGUCUUCCUCCUGCCUUGUCAGCAGCCCGAUCAGCAGACAUUUAAUAAAGGGGAUGUCUGUGCAGGGCUGCCCCUGCUUGAUCACCAAGUAUGAUGUGACCUUUGUUAAGUUUAGGUUGCCUCUGCAUUACUCGUAAUUGCUUUACCUGUAUGAGUUGGUUUUCCCCGAGUCCAUUCAAAUUAGGACCUUCCUGGCUGGAAUUCUGUACAUAUCCUCUGCCUACCACUGUUAAAAUACCAAAAAUGAUCAAAGGUUUGCAUAUUUCUUUAUGAGCUGGGCCUGUAAUUUAGUUCAGCGUUUGCUAAUACAGGAGAACACAUUUAUCUGGGAUAGGAAUUUAGUUUUACCUCCCAACACAAAGGUAAGGCUCAGGUGGAUGGUGAAUUUGCUUCUACUGAAAUCAGUGGAAGAGAUGUCAACAGCUUUGCUGAGCUAGGACAGGAUCUUUAUAGGCGAAAAUUCAGGGCACUGACGCUAUGGAAACACUGCCAGUUAUUUCAGUGGCUGGGGGCCUGAACCCUGACUCUGCGCUGUGUGCAAUUCUGCAUUGCAGCUAUAUGCAUUAAAAACACAUUGAAAUGCUAAUAAGCGACUGUGAUACUAAUGUCAAUAUACCUUAGGCAACCAUGAAUACUGCAGUUAAGUGCUUUUAUGUAUUUUAACUCUUAAUUGUAUAGGGCUUUGGGACCUUGUUAAGUUUGCUUUAAAUGCCACACUUCAGUAAGCAGUCAAGAAAUGACUGGCAGUGCUUACCUGUACACCAGUACCUUAUCCAUGCGUAAUGUAUGACCCUGCUGCUGUAAUAGGUGAGUUAAGGUGUUGCGUUUCCUUUUGUUUUGUUUUUAAGCAAAGAGACUUUGCCAUUAGCAAAAGCAGAGCUCCUAAUACUGAUUAUGCAGCUCUAUCCAUUCUCCAAGUUUCUUUAGUUGUUUUUUGCUUUGUAUGUAUGUAUAUGUUUCCCAGCAGUCAGUGAAAUGGUUAGCUUGACGGUACAAGGAAAACACUAACAAACAGAAAAGGAAAUGUCAUCCAAAGGGGAAGCCAACAACUAUGGAAAAUACAUGUAAGGCCUCUCCUAGGUAUACACUGUUAGAAAACUAAAUACGUGCAAGAGUAACUUAUAUUUUUUUCUCUCAAUCAUGCUGUCAAGCAGCUGUAUUUUGAAAAGGGUUUUUUUUUUUUUUUGCUCCUUUAAUCACAGUAUAUGAAAAGAAAAAAGUUUAAGACAUAAGGCUAAAAAUACCUUCUGUAGUAUACCGUACAGCAACAGAAUGAUGUCUAAAUCAAGAAAACACUCCUUAGAAAUUGUUCCAAGGUUAAAGAAAGAUUCCUGUGGAACUUGUGAAGAUGUCAAGUUAGUUAGUGUCAUGUCUAGUUUGGAAUAACAGAUGUUCUUAAAGGAAAUUAGCUUUUGUUGUCAUAAAAUGCACGCGCGUACGCGCGCGCACACACACACAUAUAUGUGUUCACAUACACUUGUUUACGAAAUAAGCAGUUUUCUCCAUAUAUGUGUGUGUGUGUGUGUGUGUACAUAUAUAUACACAUGCACACAAACACAUAUAUACAUAUAUUGUUAUGGCUUUAAGUUUCACAUUGCAAAGAAGAGUGAGGCAAAGACCAAAGACUUAUAGAAAUUCAUCCCUUCCCUAGUUGCCCUCACCCCUGAAAGGCACUAAGUGUAAUGGUGCUUUUUGGACCUGGGCAGGAAGAAUACAGGUUUAUUGUAUGGCUGCAUUUGAGAGAAUAAAGCGGCAGGAAGAUUCUAACUUUGUUGAUGAGGAGAAAAGGAAAUAGUGUGAAAUUCUUUAAAUGUGUACAGAAGGCAGGGAUGUCUGGAAUUUGAAACAUGAAGAAAUAUGGUACAGCAUAAGAAUUUUAAAAGAUGCUGUCCCAAGCUGAAAGCAUAAAUAAACCAAAUAAAUAUUAUAAUUGGCUGUUCACUUAACUGCACUCAAGCAGUAGCAGAGGAGGCACUCUGGCAGUGUUGGUGGCACUGUGGUGGAUUUAUCGAGAAGAGGCAUGGUGCGCUCAGGCUCCAUUUCAGUGACAACAGUAGAAAAACUAGCGAGACUACUGUAAUAAGGCCAUCUGAAUCUUUAGUCUUAAAGAAUUCAUAAUUACCCUGCUCAGUAUAGAAAUGUAACUGCAUCAUAAUCCUUUCAUUUUGAAAGUACGUACAAUGAAAACAAAAACGUUAGCAGCUCUGCUCCUUUUUUUUUUAGAGCUGACAUUUUCAAUUUGGAAAUGUCAUAAUCCAGAAGGCACCUGAGCAAAUGUAGGGAGCAUUUCUGUAAAGUGCUAGCAAUCAGCAGAUCAGGACUUUUCAAAUCUGAAAACAACAGCUUUUUUUAUCCCCGUUGUCAUUGUUGUAGAGGAGUGCAAUCACAGUAACAUUUAAGUUUUCCCCACUUUAACCUUUUUCAUCAAUUCUAAAACUGCUGUGUAAUAUUUUGGUAGCCAGUAUUCUGCCCACACUGGGCCACGUUCAGGUGGUCUGCAUCCCCCAGAUCCCUGAUCCUGGCAUUUCUCGUGCCUCUGAAGACCAAAACCAAUGAGCAGGAUGCAUGGGGCAGUGGCACUUAAGAGAAAUUAGGCCUUCUGCACAGAAGUUGCAAUGUUUUCACAGCUGAUGUAGCCAAGUCUAUGGCUGUGACUGGAGCAGAGUUAAGCACUGAUGAACAGAUUAUUCAAGCAAGAGUAGAGUGAAUUAAAUAAGGCAGGCAGAAGAGAAAGAAAAGAAAAGAUAACAAAUAUCACCCGCAUCACAGUAAUACAACAAACAUCUUUGCUUGCAAUAUUAUAUUUUAAAUGAUUAUUGGCCAUUUUACUAAAUAUGGUAGCAACUGUAUUUGAUCUUGCGUGGUUCAUGGUGGAAUUGUUGUUGCUGAAACCACUUACAGCUUAGGCUGUUUUUUAAGAUUGCUAGGGUGUUGCUUCCAUCCACAAUAACCACAGUGGCUUGAGGCUUGGAAAGAAA